GGUGUGUCCACAUGCAAGAAUUCAGUGUCCACAUCGAAAAACUCCUCUGUGGAUCUUCUUGGAAGACUUGACAACAGUGAAUUUAAAAGGACGUCACUGAUUCUGAGUGAGAGACUGCAUCCAACUUUCCCCUUUGAGUGAGUCAUGAAUAAGCAUCUGGAUUGGAUCAUCUACAAAGACUGUUCCAAACCAGCUUAUGUGCAUGAAUAUGAGAGACUAGAGAAGAUACAAAUCAACUUACGUUAGGGUCAGAGACCAUGACGGACACUAAGAGCUUUUCAAGAAGACUCAUGCUAAGCAAGCACGGUCUGGGCUAUAAACCAUACAUUUGUGCCUGGGAAUCUCCCUACAUCAAAGGUUCUAGAACCUGCUUCAAAGGUGCAUCUUAAUAUAUUAAUUAAUUUGUAUCUUUGCUUUGGAUCAUAUUGAACAUUAAGAUGAUUCAUUUUCUAGCUCUUUUUUUCUUAACACCUUGAAUGGCUCAACUACAUCUGCCAGUAUUAAUUUCAGCCUAGUUAAGUUCAGUACAUGUGCUGUCCACAAACAGCUUCUCUACCAGGUCUCUUGUAGCCAGUUAAUUAAUGGUAAUGAGGCUUAUUGUUUCAAGUCCACAUUGGUGCAAGGCAAAUAUUCCUGAGCACAUGACCAUGUCUAGAGAUGUGGUCAUGUUGUACAGAAUGGCAUAGAACUUUCACAAUGACUCUGAGUAAAGAAAAUAUUACAAAACAGCUAUACACAUGAAACGAAUAGAAAGGCUUCUAUUUUUGUUGUCUAAAUGGCUAAACACUUAGAUGCUUGGAAUUUAGAAUUGUACAAAUUAAGCUCCUUAAAGAUAUUGGAUAGAUGCUUCUUCUCUUUUGUUAAUGAAAGUAAUUGGCUACAAGUUUAUUUCCAGUCAAAAGUGCACACUCCAGGGAUGAGCAUGGACUUCUCUGGACAGUCAGUACCUCUCUGAGGUUCUGUUUUGCAAUCUUUCUUUCUCUCUCAUUUUAUUACUCUUUCCCCAUCCUAAUUCUCUGGCCCUGCCUGUCUCUGUCAUGUGCACACACCUAAGAGAUGUUCAUGUAUAAGAGAAACAUUAUAAGAAUCAGUUGACUAUAGUGUGUGAUGGAGGCUGUUGGGUUCUUGCAAUGGCUGCCUUUGGCAAUAGCUGCCAUGUGGAGGGCUCCUAGCUCUCCAUUUUCACUGGAAACCCAGCUCCCCCAGAGUUGUGACUGCUCAUCAACCAUGGCAGCUCAGAGAUAUGGCAAAACCUUCCUUGGUCUGUAAAUAUUGGCCCUCUCUAGCUUUCUCCCUGAAUACCAAAUACUUAUGGUGUAUAUACUGUUUCCUUACAGUGAAAGAUCCCAUCAAAAUUUGCUCAAUUUCAGCUGAAUAUAAUAACCUUUCCUCCAUGUUUAUAUGUAUGUAAUAAUCCCACCUCCCUGUUCAACUGUAUACAAUAAAUAUUCUGAAAUUCCU
ensembl:lincRNA 4930517E11Rik RIKEN cDNA 4930517E11 gene